UACGUAGGGUGCAAGCGUUAAUCGGAAUUACUGGGCGUAAAGCGUGCGCAGGCGGUUUUGUAAGUCAGAUGUGAAAAUCCCCCGGGCUUAACCUGGGAACUGCGUUUGAAACUACAAGGCUAGAGUGUGGCAGAGGGGGGGUGGAAUUCCACGUGUAGCAGUGAAAUGCGUAGAGAUGUGGAGGAACACCGAUGGCGAAGGCAGCCCCCUGGGUUAACACUGACGCUCAGGCACGAGAGCGUGGGGAGCAAACAGG
rnacentral:rRNA from 1 species